GACGAACGCUGGCGGCGUGCUUAACACAUGCAAGUCGAACGGUAAGGCCUUGCUUUUGUGCGGUGCUCGAGUGGCGAAAGGGUGAGUGAAACGUGUGUAGAAUGUCCUUGACAUUGGGGUACAUUCAGGGGACUGGGGUGAUUAUCGGGUAUGAGCUCCUGAUGCAUGGUGGGGAUUGUAAAGAUACGGAGUUUGAGGAUGGACGGGCGGCUUCUCAUCUUGUUGGCGAGUUAGUGGCUUACAAAGGCUUCGACGGGUAGCCAGCCUGGGAGUGUGACCGGCCACAAUGGGACUGAGAUAGGACCAAGACUGCUACGGGGGGAAGCAGUGGGGAAUAGUGCACAAUGCGCGGAAGCCGGAUGCAGCGACGUCGCGUGCUGGAUGACGGCCGUCGGGUAGUAAACCGCUUGCGCCUGUGACGAAGCGUAAGUGACGGUAAUGGGUAAAGAAGCACCGGCUAACUACGUG
rnacentral:rRNA from 1 species